AUGUUUAUAGUGCAUUAUGUGGAAUAUCUCAUUCAAAAUGUUUAUAGUGCAUUAUGUGGAAUAUCUCAUUCAAAAUGUUUAUAGUGCAUUAUGGGGAAUAUCUCAUUCAAAAUGUUUAUAGUGCAUUAUGUGGAAUAUCUCAUUCAAAAUGUUUAUAGUGCAUUAUGGGGAAUAUCUCAUUCAAAAUGUCAGCUAGAUGUAUCUAUAUUCUUAUUUUAUUAUACAUGAUUAGCAUAUUUAACAUGGUUGCAUAUUCUCGGUAUUAUUAAUGUGAUCAUAUAUUCAAAACAAUGUUUAGCUUUUUUUUUUUUUUAACUUACAUACAUAACACAUAGCUUAUCAUAUCAACCAAUACACAUGGAUAAACAUGGGGUACAAAACCAGGCACAUUUACAACAUAACAUUGUAUACAUUCGUUCACAUUGAUCCAGUGCAAACACAAUACGACAGAGAAGCUCUUCCCUGUAGGUAUAGGUCACGUGACAGUGGUUGGGUUGUGACACCUCUGGUCGUCACAAUAUGUCAACACAAUCAAAUAUACAAUAUAUACCAGUAUAGUCAGAGAGUAGUGUCCUGUCCAGGGGGUGUACUAGUACAGUAAUAUAUACCAGUAUAGUCAGACAGACUAGUGUCCUACAGGGGGGGUGUACUAGUACAGUAAUAUAUACCAGUAUAGUCAGACAGACUAGUGUCCUGUCCAGGGGGUGUACUAGUACAGUAAUAUAUACCAGUAUAGUCAGACAGACUAGUGUCCUGUCCAGGGGGUGUACUAGUACAGUAAUAUAUACCAGUAUAGUCAGACAGACUAGUGUCCUGUCCAGGGGGUGUACUAGUACAGUAAUAUAUACCAGUAUAGUCAGACAGACUAGUGUCCUGUCCAGGGGGUGUACUAGUACAUUAAGUUGCCUCACUCUUCAGAAACAGGACACAGGCUCCUGCCCCUUGGUUCGCUCUGGCUUGGACAAGGCUUCCUUAUUUUGUCAGUAUGCUCACCGAGUAAGAUACUGCUCUAGAGAGAUACUACUCCUAUAAUCACUCUAUGGUGUGUGCUCCAAAUGGCACCCUAUUCUCUACAUAUUACACUACUUUUAACCACAGCCCUAUGGGCUCUGGUCAAUAGUAGUGCACUAUAUAGGGAAUAGGGUGCCUUACCUUUUGGGUCGCCUGCCUACAUCAGUGAUGAAUUAAUACAACCUUAGUUCUCCAGAGGGAUGAACAGUUCAUAGUUAACUAUGUGCUGAACGUAAUGAGUUGGCAGAUUACCUCAUCGUAUUAACAAGAGACCGGAAACAGAGUUGGAAACCAAUCAGGAACAUGCAUCAACACCUUUCUCCUCCAUUGCCAGCAGUAGGAUUAUGAAGAAACAAACAAAUGAAAAGAAAAUAAACAACAUAAUUCUCUACUUUUAAAUGAAAGGGAAUAUUCUAGGCUAGGGAAUAUUCUAGGCUAGGCUAGGGAAUAUUCUAGGCUAGGGAACAUUCUAGGCUAGGGAACAUUCUAGGCUAGGCUAGGGAAUAUUCUAGGCUAGGCUAGGGAAUAUUCUAGGCUAGGCUAGGGAAUAUUCUAGGCUAGGCUAGGGAAUAUUCUAGGCUAGGCUAGGGAAUAUUCUAGGCUAGGGAAUAUUCUAGGCUAGGCUAGGGAACAUUCUAGGCUAGGCUAGGGAAUAUUCUAGGCUAGGGAAUAUUCUAGGCUAGGCUAGGGAAUAUUCUAGGAUUCUAGGGAACAUACUAGGCUAGGGAACAUUCUAGCAUUCUAGGGAACAUACUAGGCUAGGGAAUAUUCUAGGCUAGGGAACAUUCUAGGCUAGGGAACAUAAUAGGCUAGGGAACAUUCUAGACUAGGGAACAUUCUAGACUAGGGAACAUUCUAGACUAGGGAACAUUCUAGACUAGGGAACCUUCUUUCAGUUAGUUUAAGUUAUGUUCAUAUUCCAGAUGCACAACCAUCCCAUAGGUCAUGUGGAAUUAUACCGAUUGUAAAUGAUACCUACUGUAAAUGGUAAAUUGUACAUACUGUACUUUUUUAAAUUUUACCUUUAUUUUACCUUUAAUUAACUAGGCAAGUCAGUUAAGAACAAAUUCUUAUUUUCAAUGAGGGCCUAGGAACAGUGGGUUAACUGCCUGUUCAGGGGCAGAACGACAGAUUGUACUUUGUCAGCUCGGGGGUUUGAACUUGCAACCUUCCGGUUACUAGUCCAACGCUCUAACCACUAGGCUACCCUGCCGCCCCAUGAAAUGAUACCUACUGUAAAUGAUACAUACUGUAAAUGAUACCUACUGUACAUGAUACAUACUAUAAAUGAUACCUACUGUAAAUGGUACAUACUGUAAAUGGUACAUACUGUAAAUGGUACAUACUGUAAAUGGUACAUACUGUAAAUGAUACAUACGGCAGGCUUACACCAUGACUUCUCUGUUAAAGACAGUUAAUUGCUCUGAUUUGCCUCCAACACCUCUGCCCCUCAUCUCCUUGUCUCUUUCUAAAGGCCUGGGUUAGAAGGUUUCCCCUGCAGGUCAACUGUUGGUUGGUGAGCGAGGUAGUAGAGAUGUUACAGGGAAACAGAAACGUUGGGAGAAUAUUCAUCAGGUAGCUAAGCGCUGUCACAUGAAGUUUUAGCUGCUGUAUGGGCACCAGCCAUACUCUGGUGAAACCCAGAGAGAUGUGUUCCAGAGGGUCAUUGGGGAUCUAACAACAUAUUAGUUUGACAGGAGGGAAGGGGAUUGAUAUAGAUUUCUGUAAUGAAAAACUUUUGAGGAAUCUACAGUGGAGCUCAAUACCACACUAUUAGAUCCACUCAACUCCCAGCAGGGAGGAGAACAGAUGGAGAGAGUUGAUGUUUCUGUACUCUAUUAUCUGGAGACAAUCUCUUUAUGAUAUGACCUUUAGGCUUAUAGGGGAGGACAGGGGUGAGAGGGUCAAGCCUGAGAGACUGGUGCGCUACUCUACAUAAUACUGUAUACAUUGCCUUACUUGCUGUGUGGGGUCAUUUGGUGCAAAAGCAAUGUGAAGAGGGGAAUAGGACUAAACAGGAAAUUCAAUAUCCCUGCUGCUGGGAGGAGUUAGAAUGUGUUCCAUCUGAUACUACUGGGAGGAGUCAGAAUGUGUUCCAUCUGAU
ensembl:lncRNA